GUUCUCGUAGCUCAGUGGAUAGAGCGCCCGUCCAGUGUUCGGGAGGUCAUGGGUUCGAUUCCUGUCGGGGACU